CCGCUGUUUGUGACAUUCCCUUGCUGAAUUUUGGCUUUGUAAAAUUGAAGUGUUUUUGAUGGGACCUCAUCUUCCUGUAUGUGCAGUACCCAGCACAGCAAGUGUUUUGUUCUGAUUUGGGUCUUUAAGCGCUCCUGUAUGAAUGCGUAAUCCUGAUGGAUCAUUCCAGGUGAAUAAAACGUCUAGUUCCCCAGGCCUCCUACAUACUGAAUAACAAUUGACUCCACUGACUACUUGCUUCAAAUCUGAAAUGUGUGUUGACCUCCUGCCUACUCCUCCCAACCAUGACGCCUGCUUGUACUAGGUUAUUUUGUUUACCAAUCCUGUAUUGGGUUGCAGGAAUUACCAUACUGGGAGAGACCAGUAGUUUGUCUAGUCUGGUAUCCUGUCUCUGACUGUGGCCAAUACCUGAAGCUUCAGAGAAAAGUGAAAAAACUCAUACAAUGGACAAUUCUGCAAUAACUUUCUCCUAGGGAGGUUUCCUGCUAACUCCAAGCAGUUAGACUCAGAUCCACAAAGGUAUUUAGGCUCCUAACUUCCAUUGUGGAUCUGGACCUUAGUGACUGGCUUACAUCUUGAAGCCUGAUGAGGGAUUGUAUUCCUUAUAUAUCUUUAUCCUAGCUAGUGUAACUGCACAAAAUAAAUCUGGAGCUUCACUGGUCAUUUUUUAUUUGUAGUGUGGUAAUAUCUAAAGACGACAGCCCCAUCAUGCUGUAUAAACAUAACAAAGAGACAGUACCUACCCCAAAGAGCUUACGGCAUAAUAAAAGGAGAGAAUAGAUGGCUACCCUCUGAUUUUAUAAUUGCAUUGUAAGCUCUGCAAAGUAGGCACAAGAUAACAGUGAGAUGAUACUAGUCAGACUACAUAAGCAGCAAUCACAGCACCCCACCUGUGUAACCAUUAUCAAAAAUUUUGUAGGCAUCAUGGUAUAGGAGAGUUUUAAGAAGAGAUUUGAAGGAGGAAAAUGUGGUGGCUUUGUGGAUAUUUUCAGGGAGCUCCUCACAUGGAUAAGGGGUAGCAUGGGAGAAAGCAGAAGAUGCUUGCUGGAAAUUUUUAUAAAUGGGCAUUCAAGACAGACUGACAUAUUUUGCAGAAUAGAGGCAGGGUUCAAUGUCUUGAUACAGUAUAAGAGAUAACAAGUAGGCUUUGAAGAGCCUUAAAAGUGAAGACAAGAAAAUACUCUUGCCAGUAGCAUUUUGAAGGGAUAUAAAUGAGACAAGGUGGGAUUUGUCAAGGCCAAAAAGGAAGAGGUUGGAGUAGUUGGUAUAAGAGAUGAUGAGGGUCUGGAUAAGAGUGUAGUUAUGGGAAUGGAGGAGAAAGACCAGAUUUUAGAGAUGUUCUGAAGGAAGAAGCAGCAAAAUAUAGCCUGGAUAUGUGGUCCUAGAGAGAGGACUGAUACAAAAGCACAAGAUGUCAAAUGCACUCUUCCCUACAAAUAGCUAUGAUGGAGAGAGAAGAAAGAGCAUCAGUAUCUUUCUUGUUCUCUUUGGGAGAGAGGGAAGAGGGAAUGAUUUGUGAUGUUCUCUUUUAUUUUGGAUGUCUGCAGAAAAUGUUCUGAGCUGUUCCAGUACAUUCUGUCAAUGAAUACUGGUAGUAUUCAUAAUAGAGGGUUCUUUCAUUUUAGAGAACCAUUAAGAAACCCAAAACAUUACAUUAAGAUUUUCUUAUUUUUUACUUGUGUGUGUUGCAGCAUCUGAACUUUCCAACCACCAGUGUUGACCUCCCACACACCUGGGUCUUUGCCGCUUGUGAGUUAUACAAUAAUUUUAACUUUUGGUACAAUGUGUAUGUUUUCUGUGGGUUAUAAUGUGGUCCCUGAGAACCAGGCACCCAAGCACAAUGGCGGGAAGCUGUGUGUCUGUUUGAGGCAUAAUACCUCUUGGAAGUGGAGGAGGGGGAACAGUGUACUGGGCAUCAGUAGUUGCUGCAACAUGCAAAAACUACUUUAGAUUAAUUCGGCCUACAGCAUUGCCUUCUCUAGAUUACUGCACUGGAGACAAUGCAGUUCAACCUCUUCUCUUGUGCUUCCAGGGUGAAAUUCAUCCUUGGUCACAAGGCCAGCACAAGGACUAGGUACCACUUAAAUCCCUCUUUAAUCCUGAUAUGGGCCUUCUACAAUGGGAUCAAUUUUGCAUCCAGAGUAUAGAGAUAUUAUGCCUUACACAGAUACAGAGCUUCCCUCAGUGGUGCUUGGGUAUCUGGUAUUAUGCCUACCUCAUGUGCAGAGGUGCUUAGGCACACCUGUACAAAGGCAGCCGUACUGUAAUUGGUGCUUUGAUACCAUGGUGAUAGACAUCUUUUAAAAACCUGAGAUAGACAGAGAUAAUUUAGCAUUAUAUAGGCAUCCAUCAUCUCUGAGAAGUGUUAAACCCAUUUCUGCAGAGUCUGUAGGAUCCUGCUGAGAAUCUCCAUUGUCCUGCUCAUCAAGAAGCUGCAAACUCAGCAUGGGCUUUGCACCUCUUAGGGAUGUACACAUACAUCUUUUGUAAAUAAGCAAUUAUGGUUCUUUCAUUAAACCUCUAAUAACAUCUUUAUUUCAUUUUCCUUCCAAACAUGUUUACUUCAGCCACAACACGAUAUUUAUUGUGUUGUCUUGAAUGCAAGAGGCUAUUCUGUCAGAUUUACGACUAUAUUAUAAAAUAUGAUUCUAUCUGCAUGGAAAUGGAUGCUAGGAACCUUACAGACAUUUCCGCUAUCAUUACUGAAUAAAGAAAGCAAUAAAGAAUCUAAUAUUUACCUUUGGGGAACACCUGCAGAUCUUAAGUUAAAACCAGAUUAUAUACUUAUCAAUUAGAUGUUAUAAAAGCAAACACUUUGCAGAUUCACAUAAAUUAUCAAAAUCUUAUUAAAAAGUGACUGAAUUAAAGGCUUCACUUAAAUUUCUAA